ncrna:Taeniopygia guttata (zebra finch) microRNA tgu-mir-19b precursor (tgu-mir-19b-1)
UUAGUUUUGCAGGUUUGCAUCCAGCUGUAUGAUACUCUGCUGUGCAAAUCCAUGCAAAACUGACUGUGGCA